UCACUGAAAUCAAAGUGCAUGGCUCCCACUCUCCUUCUAUACAAAGCUAGUCAUGAUGCUUCCUUUGUAGGGGGAUUUCAUAGCUGUAGAUAUCUACAGGAAUGCCUUAUCAGGGAAAUAUUGAUGUGAAUUUGCUUUAAAAUCAUGGGCAUUCUUCUCUAGCUCUUUAAUAGAAUAUAAAAAUACCAAUUGAUUGAGAGGCUCUAGACAGUAGGCCUAGCUACAGCCGUACUAAUUUCUGCUUAGGCCGACAGCAUAUUUGUGCUGGUUUCUUACUCAUUUUCAGGAGUGAGGAGUUGUUGCCCCUUUGGAGCAGUAAAUAUUGAGUCCCCUUUGUAGUGAUUUUGUUUUGGAAUGCUAAUUUUCUGAGAAGAGAUGCUUCUCAGUUCUAGGGAAACAGCACUCGGGGUGAUGCUGGAGAUUGUCCAAUAGGGCUGACUUAGUUGCUGCUUCUGUGAAAAGUGACAUCCUCAUUUCCUUGGGGAACUGAAUGACUUGAAAGUAGGGCAUCUUUGGCCCUCCUGAAGAGAGGAAAUUAAAGGCGGACAGUCUGUGUAUGGAGUUUUCAGAUACCUUCACCUAAGUGAGAAACCUGCCUUCAUCAGGACCUCAGAUGUCUGACAGCCCUGUGUGACACCAAGAGAAGUAGUGGUUGAAACUACUGUCAAUGGACUGUUGCAUUGAAAUUUUGGAUCAUGUCUCACAUUUUAAUCAGGAAAAUAGGACCCCAGAGGAAUAAAUUCUGCAGGUCCCAAAGGCACAUAAAAAAGUGGCUCAGUGCCUAGGAAUUCACAUAAAGGAAAACAACCUGGAUCCCAUUGAGGAUAUUACAUUUAGUCAUCACGUCUCCUUAGACUCCUCUUGGCUGUGACAGCUUCUUAGACUUUCUUUGUUUUUGAUGAGCUUGAGUUUUGGGUCAGGUGUUUUGUAAAAAGUCCCUUCAAUUAGGAUUGAGUUUUUCUCAGGAUUAGGCUAGGCAUUAAGGAAUUUUGAGAGAACACAGAAGUAAAGUGCCAUUCUCAUCAUGUAUCAAGAGUGUAUACUAUCAAUAUGAUUUUCUCCUAUUGAUGUUAAUCUUGAUCACCUGGCUGAGGUCUUAUUUGCCAGUUUUCUCCACUGUAAAGUUACUCCCCCUCACCCAACACUGUACUCUUUGGGAAUAAAGUCACUAUGUGAAGCCCAUAAUUAAGGAGAGGGGAGUUGUGUUCUCCUUGAGGGUAGAAGGUCUACAUAAGUUAUUUGGAAUUCUUCAGAAAGAAAUUGGUCUCUUCUCCCUCAUUUAUUCAAUUUAUACUUUAGGAAAAAAAUCCAAUAAUACUUAAUUUUGUUAAAGUGUUCCAGAUUUGGCCUUUGGGAGCUGUUUCAGGUGGCUCCUAUGUCCCUUCAAUAUGCCCCCAUCAUUGUGAGGUUGUUUUAAGCACUUCUCACUAUGGCCCUAUACGAUGGUUCAGGCUCAUCUUGUAUUUUUCCUGUCCCAGUCCCAGAGUCAACCAUUUGGUUGUAAGUUUUAUCCUGGUACUCACAAGGAGCCCUGCUUCCUUUAUUGGAGAAUAAUACUAAGGAACCAAGAUCUGGGCACUAGAUGUGCUCUUGGUACUGAGGUUUUGUUGCUUCUAGGCCCUAUCAGCUGAUAGAACACUGAAGUAUAUAUGUAUGCAUAUAUAAGGAUCCUAACCAGGAUCCUUAGUUUAUAGCCCCCUAUAUUCUAUAAAUGUUCCACUUUUAAUAAUGACAUUUUAUUCUAUGGUCUUUGUUUAUUCUCUUUCAUCUAGAAUAGUGGUUGAGCUGUUGUCUUUUAUAGCAGAUGCUGUAGUUCCCAGAUGACUGAUUAUUUUUACCCUAUGAGCUCACAGUAGAGGAUGGGAAUUUUGUGUCAGCUGCCGGUAGAGAGGAGCCAAGCCCAGGCCCUGGUGUCCUAAAGAGUUGAAGGAGAAGAGAGAGAGCCUUAAGGCACAGAACCUCUGAGUUAGAAUCAGGGCUUCACCAGAGCAGCAGAUGGUCAAACUGCUUCUCCUUCCCCUCAGUUGCAAUUCUCUCAAGAACUCCAGGUGCUAGUAAGUAAGGUUGCAUUAUGCUGGCCACUCCAGCAAGUGAUGAGUUGAACAUGAGGCAAUGAAUAGGAUAGGGGAAAAGAACAGAAGUUUCGUCACCACCAAGAUUACCCCUACUCCCAUGGCACUCUACCCUUUUCUACACUGGACUUCCAUUUCUUGCCCUUGUAUAGUGGGACCCAAUCAUGAUCUGUUUCUCCAAGGGACUCUUCAUAUUUAAUUUCUCAGAUCUCUAACUUCCCUCUUAUUUGUGUAAUACCUCCAGGGCUGAGUUAGAGGAAGAGGCAAUAGCCUAUGGUAAUUACUCAUCUUGUCAAACUGGUCAUUUAAUAGAUACCCUUUAUCGGUUUAUUAGUUUUAUUAACUGAAUUCUGUUAGACAUUGGGGAUAAGUGAUGAACAAACACAUUCUCUGCUCACCUUAAUAUGUACAGUCUAGCCUUUAUCUCUCUCGCCUCAUCUUUGCCACCUUGGUUUCUUUCAGUCCUUGAUAAGCCUUUUACUACGAGGUCUCUGCGCAUGCUGUUUCUGUCUGGGUCCAUCUUCUCUACUUUGUCUAAUUUGAGAUCUCGGCUCAGACAGCACUUCUGCAGAGAAGCCACCUUUCCUGACUGAGCACCCAUUAUAUGUGUAAUUGCACUGUUUUACCACAGAGCUAGAAAGUCAGCUGCCAUGUAAGAGUCCUUUGAAAAGCUGGUAUUCACCAGCUUCUAAAGAUUUACCUCAUUCCCCUAUGGCCAAGCAGGUUCAAUUCUACUGACAACUGAUUAAAGGGCCUCAGCUGGUAAAUAUUAAUGUCUGUGUGUCAUAAUGUACCCAAAAUAGAGUAAGGCCAUAGGCAUAUCCUGUUUUUUAAUAAUACCCCAGUAAAUGAGGAUAAAGAGAUUGCUGGUUUUGUUCUUUUUAAAAAAUUUUGAAACAGAAAAAUCAUAGAAACAAGUGUCAGAUUUCCUAAUCAUUUGCUAGUGGACCCUAA
rnacentral:lncRNA from 1 species